rnacentral:rRNA from 1 species
AGGAGUAUGGCUAACGGGCCCGGCUGGGUGCCGAGCUGAGAGUCGGCGGCGGUCGCAUGCGACACGUGCUGUGCUAGCAGUUCGGUCCUGGUCGAGCUCACAUGCUCCGUCUCGGUGUAAGAGCUGGUCAUCUCUCCGACCCGUCUUGAAACACGGACCAAGGAGUUUAUCGUGUGCGCGAGUCAUUGGGCGUUCAAAACCCAAAGGCGCAAUGAAAGUGAAUGUGUUCCGCAAGGAGCUGAUGUGCGAUCCUGCGCUCCACGGAGUGCGGGCGCAGCAUGGCCCCAUCCUGACUGCUUGCAGUGGGGUGGAGGAAGAGCGUGCGCGAUGAGACCCGAAAGAUGGUGAACUAUUCCUGAGCAGGAUGAAGCCAGAGGAAACUCUGGUGGAAGUCCGAAGCGAUUCUGACGUGCAAAUCGAUCGUCUG